CUUCUCGUGGCGUAGCGGCAACGCGCAUGUCUAGUGAGUAGGAGUCGUGAGUUCGAGUCUCACCGAGAGGA
rnacentral:tRNA from 1 species